rnacentral:lncRNA from 1 species
AUAGCAGUAUAGCCCCACUCAAAGCAAUUCUCUACUGCAACGUAGAAGUUACCCCCAAUUUGAAUUUCCAGGUAACCACCAAAUCCUAAUUUAGAGAUUCUACUAAACAUAUUUAGAGUGUUAUGAUUAUUGUUUUGAUGUGUAGAACUAAUGGUAUGGUUAUGAUGUUUUUAUAUGUGUAAUCGUUGAAGGAAGGGAUGAUCUGUGUAAGAGAGUUGCUGUGUUGUUGUUUAUGUGAAUAUGUGUAUCCAAAUUGAAUACUAUGAUGUUCUUAUUACGAUAAACAUUGUUGAGAUCAAAAUUUAUCAUCCAUAUGCGGAAGUUUUGGCUUUGAUUCAUGGAGGAAAGAUUUGCUAUCACAUCUUUAUAUUAACCAACGUGUACUGUGAACUUUAAGCGACUGAAUUGCAGUUAGAAUAUCAACACAGUAGUGGCUUCAAUACAUGUAUGCUUCCAUAUGUUGAACAUGUAUUGGGUUUUAUGGGCAUACUUUGUAGGUUCCUUUGCUUUUCUUGAUAGUUCCUUUGUUUCCUAAUAGUUGAUGUCAUUAUGUAUGUGCAGAUUAAGCAAUGGUGAAGAGAAUUGUUGCUUGAGGGCAGUAAGUGAGAGUACUAGAGAGUAGAGACUAUAAGGUCUGGUCCAAGAUGGUGGAGUUUUACGGUUUGCUGAAGCCCUCCCUACAUGUGAGACGAGAGGGUUACGAGAGGGG